AUCUAAUUUAUUUUACAGGACCGAGAUGCUAUACAGUGGGAAAACCAGCCUGGCAACAUAGUGCGUAUUAAUAAAAGGACACCACAUCCUGCCAAAUUCCAGCUGCGCUAAUUGUAUUGUGUUCACAGAGCUCACAAGCUAUCAGAAAGUUGUAUGGCAACCACCUCCGGCGCCAAAUAGAACUGGCAGACAUAGACAUUCAGUACAAGAAGAAAAAGAUGGAAAAUCUUGCACUGGAGUCCGAAAUAAAAAAGAGGACAAUUAGGAAACUGGACCUUGAAAUAAAAAAACUUGAGAGGGAGCUCCAAGAAGAUGACACAGCUCAAAAUAAAAAUUAGCAAUCAGUACAACCAAGUCAUCGUUAUAAGGCAUCGCCCUCUUUUGCCCACCCCCCCAGCACCAGGUGUGGCCACUAGCCUAUAUGAAGGCCCAAAAUUGUGUGUUCCUUUCUGCUCUGACAAUGGCAGGCCCAUUCGUGCGAGAUGUGGUGGAUGAAGAAGCACUUGUGCUGAGGAGAGCCUUCAGGCGAGAAAGGGUCUUCAGGGACCGGUUGGACCCACUGGCCUUCCCUGAUGACCAUCUAUAUGAAAGAUACAGGUUUUCUGCAGAUGGCAUCAGGUAUCUAUGCAGACUACUGGGUCCCAGGAUUAAGCACCGCACUGCACGGAGCCAUGCACUGAGUGUGGAGCAAAUGGUUUGUGUGGCCUUGCGCUUUUUGCUAGUGGAGCC